CUGGCGGCGUGCCUAAUACAUGCAAGUCGAACGGUCUUUCUAUGGAAGCUUGCUUCCACUGAGAAGAUAGUGGCGGACGGGUGAGUAACACGUGGGUAACCUGCCCAUAAGAGGGGGGAUAACAUCCGGAAACGGGUGCUAAUACCGCAUAGUUUUCUUGAUCGCAUGAUUGAGAAAGGAAAGACGGCCUUUGUGCUGUCGCUUAUGGAUGGACCCGCGGCGUAUUAGUUAGUUGGUGAGGUAAUGGCUCACCAAGACGAUGAUACGUAGCCGACCUGAGAGGGUGAUCGGCCACAUUGGGACUGAGACACGGCCCAAACUCCUACGGGAGGCAGCAGUAGGGAAUCUUCCGCAAUGGACGAAAGUCUGACGGAGCAACGCCGCGUGAGUGAAGAAAGGUUUUCGGAUCGUAAAACUCUGUUGUCAGAGAAGAACAAGUUGGAGAGUAACUGCUCCAGCCUUGACGGUAUCUGACCAGAAAGCCACGGCUAACUACGUGCCAGCCGCGGC
rnacentral:rRNA from 1 species